GAUGAACGCUGACAGAAUGCUUAACACAUGCAAGUCUACUUGAUCCUUCGGGUGAUGGUGGCGGACGGGUGAGUAACGCGUAAAGAACUUAGCCCUCGCAGUCUGGGACGAACAUUUGGUAACGGAAAUGCUAAUACCGGAUAUUAUGUGAGUUUCGUCAUGAAAUUACAUAUGAAAGCUAUAUGCGCUGCAGGAGAGCUUUGCGUCCUAUUAGCUAGUUGGUGAGGUAACGGCUCACCAAGGCGAUGAUAGGUAGCCGGCCUGAGAGGGUGAACGGCCACAAGGGGACGUGAGACACGGCCCUUAC
rnacentral:rRNA from 1 species